GGCGGAGUGGAGCAGUUUGGUAGCUCGCAAGGCUCAUAACCUUGAGGACGUAGGUUCAAAUCCUACCUUCGCAU
rnacentral:tRNA from 1 species